rnacentral:lncRNA from 1 species
GCGGGGGCGGGGGAAAGGCGGACAGCGGCCAUGGGUCGCGGGUCUCGGGGGCCGCCAGCAGGCUGAAGGGAGAAGGUCGCGCGGGCAGCGGCGGCAGCGGAUGCGGGGGCGGCUCGGAGACCAGGGGCGGGCGGCCGCGCGCGCCCACGGGCCCGGGGGCUGCGGCGACGGCGGCCUCGGGCAGCGGAGGCAGCGGCAGGAGAGGAGACUAAUCCGAAGCUCAGAAAGGCUCAGUGCAUUCCCAAGGUCGUUCAGCCAGGAGAGCGCUGAAGGGAUCUGAGCUGAAAGCAAGUCUCAAACUCAGAGAAUGGAGGAGCUGCCCCGGAAGUGGCUGCUCGAGGCUGCAGUGAACUAUGAUCCUGCGGCCAAUCGCGGUGGCUCACGCCUGUAAUCCCAGCCCUCUGGGAGGCCGAGGCGGGCGGAUCGCUUGAGGUCAGAAGUUCGACACUAGCCUGGCCAACGUGGUAAAACACCCUCUCUACAAAAAAAUGCAAAAAUCAGUUGGGUGUGGUGGCGCGCGCCUGUGGUCCCAGCUACUCAGGAGGCUGAGGUGGGAGGAACGCUUGAGCCUGGGAGGCGGAAGUUACAGUGAGUCGAGAUCGCCCCACUGCACUCCAGCCUGGACAAGAGAAUGAGACCCUGCCUAAAAAUAAAAUACAUGAGCC